ensembl:processed_transcript Gm14207 predicted gene 14207
CUCGCCACCAGAGGAUAGGAGGGUAGCCCAGUGAUGCGGCGGGAGACUUUAGGUAGCUCCUGCCUCGCUGGCCUCCAGCCUAUGUGUGCCCACCCUCCACGCGUCCCCAGCACCGCAGGGAAGCCAUCCGACGCGUUAACCUUUCCCUGGCUAUUCCAAGCAAGGCAAAGGGCCAAGCGUCUAGGACUCUGGUCUUCUCUGCACCUGUGCCUAUCUCACCUGGGUCGCGCUUGGUCUCCAUAUCCUCAUCCUGGCCCCCACCCGCGUCCCCUAGCUCCGCUGGAGUAGGGAGGAAACUUUCUUAAUUCCAGAAUUUCCUUGGGCCACUUGAGAGGCAAGGCAACAUGAAGACAACCAGAGGCCACCUCGGGGGCGGGGCACAAAUGAAAUUCACGGGUAGAGGAAAAGACAGAGGACACACUCCUAAGGGAAGAGGCAAUAGGAGCAGAACGGAGGAGGGGAAAGAGCAGAGCGUGAAAAGUCAAGGUUUCGGGGCCUUUUUUGGUAGGAGGCCUGUGAUAAGGUUCUUGACUGAACAACCUGGCCUUCUAGAGAAAACCUUCCCACUGAGACAACUCUCCUGCGGGAGGGUUUCAGAGCAGCGGCCUGCAGAAAGGAAGAGAUGUCAUCCUUGAAUGGAUCUAAUCAGAGAGGGUGCUGGCCUCAGAGGGGGGGGGGCGGGGGCGCGCUCGGCUUUUCCUCAUACCUCUGAGAGACCCUACUUCCUGGGUUCACUGUCCACUGUCUGGUUGCUCAUGCCUGAUGACUCAACAUAUGCCAAAUAAAGGAUACCCAAGUGGGCAGGAUUACUGGG